rnacentral:lncRNA from 1 species
AUGGCUGCCCUCAGACCCCUCAUGAAGCCCAAGAUCGUCAGAAAGAGGACCAAGAAGUUCAUCCAGCAGCACUCAGACUGAUAUGUCAAAAUUAAUCAUAACUGGCGGAAACCCGGAGGUACUAACAACAGGGUUCAUAGAAGGUUCAAGGGCCAGACCUUGAUGCCCAACACUGGUUAUGAGAGCAGCAAAAAAACAAAGCACAUGCUGCCCAGUGGCUUCUGGAAGUUCCUGAUCUACAACGUCAGGGAGCUGGAAGUGCUGCUGAUGUGCAACAAAUCUUACUGUGCUGCUAUCACUCACAAUGUUUCCUCCAAGAACCGCAAAGCCAUCCUGGAAAGAGGAGCCCAGCGGGCCAUCAGUCACCAAUCCCAAUGCGAGGCUGUACAACGCAGAAAGUGA